rnacentral:rRNA from 1 species
UAAUACCAGCUCUCCGAGUGGUGGGGAUGCUUAUUGGGCCUAAAGCAUUCGUAGCUUGUUCGGCAAGUCCCCCGUUAAAUCCAGCGAUUCAAUCGUUGGACUGCGGGGGAUACUGCUGGGCUAGGGGGCGGGAGAGGCCGACGGUAUCCUCGGGGUAGGGGUGAAAUCCUAUAAUCCCGGGUAGACCACCAGUGGCGAAGGCUGUCGGCUAGAACGCGCCCGACGGUGAGGGAUGAAAGCUGGGGGAGCGAACCGGAUUAGAUACCCGGGUAGUCCCAGCUGUAAACUAUGCAGGCUAGGUGUUGGAGCGGCUACGAGCCGCUUCGGUGCCGCAGGGAAACUGUUAAGCCUGCCGCCUGGGGAGUACGGCCGCAAGGCUG